UGUAAGGAAAAAACAUCUAUUUUUCUCUGUUUCCCAGCACACAGGCCUCUCCAGAGAGAGUGCUUACUCUUGUGAAAUGACUGGAUUUUUCUUUUAGUUACUUCAAAAUUCUACAGACCCAGUCCCUAACUCAGUAAGCCUUUCCCUAGUGGAAAAUCUUAAAACUGCAUAGAACCAGAAGCAAGAAUCGGGCUGGAUGAGAGUGCUGGUCAUUAGGACAUUUGAAAUACCCUGCUCUCCUUAGAAGUUCCUAAUGGAGACCUUUAGAGGAAGAAUAGAGGUCAGAAGGCCCAGGACAUCUCCGAAAGAACUGGUCCCUUUCUCUAGAAGAAGCCCCUAUUGCCAGGCUCCUACUGACGCUGUUACCAUGCCCCCCUCACCGGA